rnacentral:lncRNA from 1 species
GAUUUAGAUCAGUACAGACCUCUCCCAGUCUCUUUCUCAAGCUGUGCAUUGGGCACAGCAGCCCCAGCUUUAAACAUUUCCUAACCAGACCAUCUACCGGGGGCACAGCAGCCCCAGCUCUGAAGGUUUCCCAGCCAGACCAUCUCCUGGGGGCACAGCAGCCCUAGCUCUGAAGGUUUCCCAGCCAGACCAUCUCCUGGGGGCGCCUGGGGCUUUGGGAACCUCCCCCACACAAAAACAGCGUGAUCCUCCCCCAACCCUGCUGGUCACUGGACCGGUUCUCUACUCUGCACUCAGGUAGGGGACAUCCUCAUAAAACCCCCCAGAUCCCGCUCCCACAGCUCUGCAGGUUAAAAAGCCCAAACUAGGGCUGGGCCUGGUGGCUCACACCUGUAAUCCCAGCACUUUGGGAGGCCAAGGCAGGUGGAUCACUUGAGGUCAGGAGUUCGAAACCAGCCUGGCCAACAUGGUGAAACCCCGCCUCUAUUAAAAAUACAAAACAAUUAGCCGGACAUGGUGGCAGGCAUCUGUAAUCCCAGCUACUCGGGAGGCUGAGGCAGGAGAAUAGCUUGAACCUGGGAGGCGGAGGUUGCAAUGAGCCAAGAUCACACCACUGCACACCAGCCUGGGAGACAGAAGGAGACUCUGUCUCAAAAAAAAAAAAAAA